rnacentral:rRNA from 1 species
UACGAAGGGGGCUAGCGUUGCUCGGAAUCACUGGGCGUAAAAGCGCACGUAGGCGGAUCUUUAAGUCAGGGGUGAAAUCCCAAGGCUCAACCUUGGAACUGCCUUUGAUACUGGGGAUCUCGAGUCCGGAAGAGGUUGGUGGAACUGCGAGUGUAGAGGUGAAAUUCGUAGAUAUUCGCAAGAACACCAGUGGCGAAGGCGGCCAACUGGUCCGGUACUGACGCUGAGGUGCGAAAGCGUGGGGAGCAAACAGG